rnacentral:misc_RNA from 1 species
GGGAAUCAUCAAUCAUUUCAACAGACUAGUUUAGUAGGAAAAAUCUCUGUAUCAUCCACGAAGAAGAGGAACCUUUUAAGGGGGAAAAGAUGCUACGGAAAAAAUUUGUGAGCUUGUUGGUUUCAUUUGGACUGUUAACAGUGAUAUCAUAAGACGAAAGAUGCAAACUUCGACACGGUACAUUUAAGUACCCAUUGGCUUAACACUUCUACAAUAGUCAAAAGUACUCCACACACCCUCUUCAUUGAAUCGGGCUAGGAAGCAGUAAAACUCAAAAAGAAAAUCACUAGCACCAUUAUACCGCAGAGUGCAAUUACCAUUAUAACUGCCUUUGUAAUUCCACUGCAACUUGAACCAUAUACUAAUAAUAGCCAGUGAAGUACUCGCAAGUUUUUGGAUCAUUUUGCAACAUUAACAGUACUCAAGAAAAUACAAUAAUUUAGUGAACCU